rnacentral:lncRNA from 1 species
UGAAAUCACAUUCUAGGGGUUUAUUUUUGAGUCAAUUUUUGUUUUGACAUUUUGAGAGUCUUGGUUACCAAAAAAAAGCUAUUGAUCCAACAGUUGAAUGACCAUCAGUUUGUUCAUGGCUCCUCCCUGUUGAAAGCAACAAGCUCUGGCAUAUACAAAAAACCUCUUCUAAACCUCUCUGACAUCUCAGCUACAAAACCUCCAACUCAAUAAUACAGAGACACUGAGAAUGGAAACGAAAGUGUUCAUCUGUGUUCUGUGUGCCUGUUUGGUAACACUCUUAGUGCAUAAGACAUCACCAGCCCUAAUAAAUGAAGGCAUAUUUCUAUUAUACAAACCCUCUCAGCAAGGUCCUGAAGGUCCUGUUAAUGGAAGUAAUUACGAGCAGGUGAGUGCCAUUUUUGCUUUAAAAUUGAGUAAUAUUAGAAGCCAUGAUCAUAUUAUAUAUCAUGCUGUAAAUCUCACCUCUAGUGAGAUAAAGAACUUUAAAAGCUUUCAGAUUAAAUUUAUGUUCUUUUAUCCACAACAGAUGACUAACCAUACCCUAAAUACAAAUACAACCCAAGAAAGUAUUCUGGAAAAGACCAUUGCGCCGAACCUUGCAGAGGUACUGUUCAGUGCCUUAAUUUCUCAUAACUACUCAUGAAUCUAUCAUGUACACAAUACAAUUUUAUCUAGGACUUGUAGGGUUCUCAGGGAAAUUUUAUGUCAUUUAUGAAGUUAUAUGAGGUUUUUUGGUCAUCAUUUAUUCACACUCGUGUCGUUCCCAACCGUAUACUGUUAUUGUUUGCAUGGAACACAGAAGGAGGUAGUUUGAUAUUUAUAUUCACACAACCACAUACAUGGGGGUGAGUAAAUGAUAACACAAUGCUAACUAUUACUUUAAAUGAUUUACAUAUGUUUGUUACAGCCAUAGCUGCUUGUGGUUUGUCAAAUAACACAUGAGGGCCCUCUUGUGUGCAGCCUUUAGUAAAAUAACAUGUAAACCAAGAGGGCUCUCAGUCUACAGUCCGUCAGCCCUAGAUGAGAGUCAUGAGGUCUUGGGUUUUUGUCCUUUGCUCAGUUAUUCUAACCUCAGCAAACUUUAGUGAAAAAAGUAAACUUCAGUUAGUUUUUAAGCUCUCUCUCUCUCUCUCUCUCUCUCUCUAUAUG